ensembl:lncRNA
GGUCCGUGUACUUUUGCGUCCAUUCGUUUUUCUUUUUUUAACCAUGACGAGAAAAAUAAAAUAUAAACGGUUGUUGUAUUUUAAGCAAAAAAAGUUACAUUCAAAAUUUUGAAUUAGAACUGUAUUCAGAACAUUCUACGAAAAAAAUGUAUAUUGACUUAUUUUCAGAUUUUUGUUUAUGACUUUUUGCACCUUUACUUUACAUUUAUAAAAUACACAAAUUAGUAUCGAAUAAAAGCGAAUUGUACUAGUUUUCUGAAGCCAAUUUAGUGACCCGGAAAUAUUUUUUCCCGCACUAUUGAAUGCGAAGCACCAUGUCUCUGGAACCGUACAGAGAAGUGAUUUUGGACAUGAUUUUAAAACACCACACACACAAGGACGUUGCUGAGCAUCUGUCUCAAAUUGGUGUUGGGCGAGGUUGUUCGGCGAGGACUGUUAGAAGAUUUUGUGCCAGUCAUGGUGUGAGACGGGAGGUUUCCGACACUCAGCUGGAGAUAGCUGUAUCGGCAGCAGUACAAGAAGCAGGACCAACCUACGGUCGUAAAUUGAUGACCGGUUAUUUGACAUCAAAGGGAAUUCGAGCAGCAGAAAGUAGGGUUGGACGAGCCCUCCGGACAAUAAAUCGACCAUAUCAUGAAAUGCGAUGCAGUGGUGUACGGAAUCUUAAUCCCAUACCUUACUGUGCCACUUACACAGGCCACAAACUCCAUUUAGAUCAAAACGAAAAAUUGGUCAUGUUUGGAGCUACACAUGUCCUAGCAAUUGAUGGCUACAGCAGCAAGAUAAUGGCAUAUUCCUGUAUGCCAGUAAAGAAUAACCUCAUUAUCUAUGAUGAAGUGUACAGGCCUGCAGUAAUCAACAAUGGAAUGUGGGACCAGAUAAGGGUGGACCAUGGAAAAGAGUUUUUCUUGACUCUAUUUAUGCAAGAAAUUCUUGCUGACCACAGAAUGAAUACAGCAACACCACCAUAUCGUCAGACCACAUCAACAAAGAAUCACACAAUUGAGAGAAUUUGGCCUGAAAUAAACAACAGGGUUAAUUACCCUUUGAAGGAGGCUCUUGUUCAGCUGGUCGACCAAGAACUGAUUGAUAUGGACUGCAACCUAACAAGAUACUGUGUGUCUAACCUUGUCUGUCAGCUGUGUCAUCUGGGCAUUAGCAGGGUAGUAGAGGCAUGGAACAACCACAGGAUUCCUGGAAAAGGAAUCCCCAACCAGAUUGCACAGGGUGGUUGUGCAAAAAAAAUCUCAGCAGCACUACUGCCUCAUGGAACUGAAGCAGCUGAUCUGUACAUGAACACACUGGGAUCAUCUUUGACAAGGGUUUCGGCCUUUGGAACAGACCCUUUUACAAGUGAACAUGAGAAGGCUACAGUGGAACAACUGUUUUCAGAAAAGUGGCCAGACAUCACUUACUUGCUCAAUAAUACGGUCAACAAAAACUUUUUGCCUUUUAAAGAGGCUUUGGUCUGUUUAGUAAAUUUAACUCAAAGAUACUCUUAAAGAGCAUGCCUUCUAAUUGUUCAAUGCUGCUUUCCAUCAAGUGUUUUUUCUAGAAACAAAAUAUUACACACAAAUUUAAGCAUCAACAUGAUGCUGAUAAAUUAAAGUAUUUCUUUUUACUUCUUGUUUUAAGUAGUUGUGCAACAAAACUUUACACAACAACUGUCAAAUAAACUACUGAACUAAACUUGAAUUGCUGAACAGCUAAACAUUUUUUCCUGGGUAAUGUAGGCCUACUCUACCCUAAUGAUGUCACCAAGAGCUAACAAAGCUUCAGAGAGACCUGCUGCAAGAAAGAUGUGGUUGCUAAGAGCUUCCUCUCUGCAUUUUAAGCACUGUGAUGAAGUAGCCAUCCAUUGAUCAACACAAAGUUUGCAUCCGAUCAGGCUUCUACAGCAGGUGGCAAAUACUGGUUGAUCAAUGGGUCCUAAAAAACAAAAUGUUAAAAAAAAAAAAUCAGUUAUUGUGCAGAGAUGGGGUGUUUAAAAAAAGGCAAACUUUAUUAUCCAACUACCUGGAAAAAGGUACAUAAAGGGGCAGUUUCCAAUUCCUGGAAAGGGUUUAGAUUAAUCCAGGACUAGGCCUUAGUUGGCAUUGAUAUAUGUUAAGACAUACAAUUACAAGAUGUUUUUAAAUUUAGGCAGCUCAAACAUGCAUUUUCUGGGACUAGGAUAAGCCCUGUCUGGGAAACCACCCCAUAAACACAAAUAAUGAUUAUCUCAUGCUAUCAAAGCCCCAAAAUAAUUACUCAUAUUGUUAUAAACUCUUGUGAUUUUUAUUCAUUUUCAGAAAGCAAAUUAAAUUUUUUUAUGAAAUGCAAGCGGUUUCUGUCCCUCAUUUUAAAGUGAAUACAUCCAAACCCUUCCAUCAGUUUAUAAAGAUAUGGUUAACCUCUUACCUUUGCAGACUAUGCAAGUGAAAGCUGCUUUUAUUUUCUCUGUUUGGACUUCAGUCAAGGUUUUGGCAGGUGUUUGACUGGACAGCUCAGAAAGCUCUUUGAUAGUUGAGAUAACUUGCUGAAGGCCCUGUGACGCCAGCACCACUUCUUCUAUCUUAUCAUAGACAUCUUGUAGACUUGAGGUUUCAUCAUCUCUCCGACUUGAGCUAAAUUUAGUUUAAAAUAAAUUAGAAUUGACUUGUGCAUUUGAAAAAAAUAUUUACUCACAAAUACUAAUUCUGUACCUUCUUUUCCUCUUGCUGCCUUGAAAUUCUGUGAAGUCGUGCUCUGCAAUUGCAAAUACCUUGCGGGCAUUUUGCUUCCAGUAGAUGGAUCCUGAGUACGUGGAGGUGACAUGCCAUGAAAAAUUGUCAUAUUACUUUUGAUGUUUAAAACAGAUUAAUAAUGCAAACAAAUUGACAAAUAUGCACCUUUAGUUCCUUCAGAGUCAAGUAUCUCAUUGCCCUGGGCAUCGGUGAGAAUUACAGGAUCAUAACUGCCAAGAGCAUCUUGAACUUUCCCAAUAAUGCCAUGUACUGUAGCCUCACAUUCCAUGAAACGAACUACCACCAUCCUGCUUGGCCUCAGUUUGCCGUUUACUAAAUCAGCUAUGUAAAUGGAUCUGGAGACAUUAUGCACAUGACAAAUUCAGAAUUUAAUUUCUC